ensembl:snRNA U6 U6 spliceosomal RNA
GUGCUUGCUUCGGCAGCACAUACACUAAAAUUGGCAUGAUACAGAGAAGAUUAGUAUGGCCCCUCUGCAAGGAUAACACGCAAAUUCGUGAAGCAGUCCAUAUUUUU